ACUUAAACAAGCCCGACCAAAUGCAUUUCUUCUGUGUGACAGACAGACGCUUAAUCGGCGUGAAGAGGAUUUCCCACAGUACCUUGAAAUUCUCCGUAAUGCCUGCAAGUCAAGUGGCAAAAAAUUCCUCAGCGCUGAAACUUAUGAAGCACUGCUGCUGACAAGCAAGUCUACCGUUCUGUGUGUGAAGUACCUACUGGAGAGUGGAUUCUUUUAUGUUCUCACCAGGAACCUUUCCACCGAUCCGGUUGAGGUUCUCUUCAGCGCAUUGCGUCAAAUGGCAGGAUGCAACGACUGCCUAGAUGCUAGAGCUGUGACCUUCUCCCUGUAAAAGUUACUGCUGACAGGUAUCCUAUGUGCAUCACAAGCAUCAAAUGUGGGAAAUGGCCAGAGUGUUAUGAGCAUGCACAGUGCCUCUACAUCAGCCCCUUCGGACAGGAUUGUUGCAGACGUGCCCACAGGGAUACCUUCAGAAUCAGAGACAUUGAACAAUCCUCAAACCAUCUUUCCUGCAAGCAGCAGCAGUGCACUAUCUAGCUUUCUUGAACCACCCAGUUUUGUAGAUGAUGUCAUCAGUGUACUGGCACCCUUGAAAGUAAUGCCUU